rnacentral:rRNA from 1 species
CACGGACCAAGGAGUCUAGCAUGCGCGCGAGUCAUUGGGAGUUAAUAAACCCAGAGGCGCAAUGAAAGUGAAUAGCGCUWCUUCGGUGGCCGCAGGGAAGAUGGCGGCCGGCACGCCCGUCCGCCCGCAUUCCCGAGGCGUUUCGAGAAAUGUCUUAGHUACGAUUAUCGAGACGCACUGAGAGCGCGCACGCUGGGACCCGAAAGAUGGUGAACUAUGCCUGGKCAGGUCGAAGUCAGGGGAAACCCUGAUGGAGGACCGUAGCGAUUCUGACGUGCAAAUCGAUCGUCUGAACUGGGUAUAGGGGCGAAAGACUAAUCGAACUAUCUAAUAGCUGGUUCCAUCCGAAGUUUCC